rnacentral:rRNA from 1 species
UACGUAGGGUGCAGGCGUUGUCCGGAAUCAUUGGGCGUAAAGAGCGUGUAGGCGGCUCGAUCAGUCCGCUGUAAAAGUCCAGGGCUCAACCCUGGGAUGCCGGUGGAAACUGUCGGGCUAGAGUCCGGGAGAGGCGAGUGGAAUUCCUGGUGUAGCGGUGAAAUGCGCAGAUAUCAGGAGGAACACCAAUGGCGAAGGCAGCUCGCUGGAACGGUACUGACGCUGAGACGCGAAAGCGUGGGGAGCAAACAGG